CCGCACUCUUGAACCAAAGACCUAAUCUUGCUAUCCACAAGAGUCUUCAGAGAUGAAGCAUGUUCAACUGGGGAUACACUAAGGAGGUAGUCACAAUCCUGCAAGGUUUUGACACCAAAAUGGUCCUUGUUGGAGUCCAUCUCCCAUUUCUUCAAUGGAACAUUCAUCCUAUCUAGCAGAGUCGUCAGCAUGAACCCAUAAGGAGUAGCAUGAGCCUUGGAGACAUUUAUGACUCGGUCUAGCAGCUUGACAAUGAAGGCAAGCCAGUUAAUCUACUUUCCUGUCACAAGGCAUUCCAGAAAAACCAAGUCCAUGUAGUUAGCAGUAUGCCUUCUUUCAUGUCUGGGUAGCAGACAUUUAUUCACAAAUUCAAAUAGCACCUUGUGCUAAGGCUUCAUCUCACUCUUCUGCACAAACCUUGUCUCUGGCACAUCUUCAGCAGACUCUGUAUCACAGAAGUUUCUGGUGAUUUGGAUAGCAUUAAGAAGAUCAUCUAGACAAGGCCACCUCUUCCUAGUGUAGUCAUCAUAACCUUCGCAUGGUAUGUCCAGAAGUGUGCCUAAUUUAGGUGCAUCAAGCUGCACCUUUACUCCCCUAACCACACUGGUGGCUACCCCAUUUUUCACAGUGGCUUUAGCCAUGACCUCGAUCAGCUCCUUUCUUGCCAGCCUUCCAUCCAAUUGAAGAACCAUGUCCUUUCAACCUUGUGCAUCUAGG
rnacentral:lncRNA from 1 species